AGGGGACUCAAACAGGGAUGUUAUAGGCUCUCAGUCAUUGAAUGAUGGAUAGACGACGUUGAAAAGGACCUCAAGCUAUUGGGAGUCAACCGAUGGCGGGCCGUCGCACCGGACAGGGCCAGAUGGAGGAAAAUCUGCGAGUCAGCCUUGGCCUGUGAAAGGCUGUUGCGCUUAUGAAGAAGAAGAAGAAUGACUCUGUUUUCUAACUCUCCUCUCUUUUUAUUUUAAGUCUAAAAUUGCCUGUAUUCUGUAGCAAUGCUUAUUAUUUUUUUUAUACCUUGCUUAAUAGGGUUAAAAUCCUUUAUUUCUGUUUUCUGUGUAAUUUAUUUAUUGAACUGUUUUUUUUAAAUUAUUAUUUACUAUUAGAAAAUUCUUAAUAUUUUAAUAAUUAACUUUAGUAUUGUAAAUAUUUAUUAAGCUGUGUAACCAUUUUGGUAUGUUAUGUUUAAAUGCUCUUACCCUUUUAUGCUUUUUUUUUCUUUUCUCCAAGCUUUGGACAUGUGCCUAGGUCAAUAUGGACCCUUUAGCUUGCCCAAACUUGGCUACUGGUCCGGCUCUACACCAGCCUAGGAACGAACCCAGUCAGCAAGAAUUUAUUGAGAAUUUAGAUACGUACAAAAUCCUUUUAUGCUUUAAAGUUAUAUAUAUUUACACCAGAUAUCUGCAGCAUUUUUGAUUUUAAAACUUGUACUUUGUCUUUUACCAACUUAAUAAGCCUUUAAUUUAAGUAAGAAAAAUGAAAACUUUUAGAGCCACUCCUUGACUAUAAUUUGUUUUAACCUUCAACAUUCUGAGCAUUAAUUUAAACAAUUUUUUGUUACAACUUUUUUCUAUCCUUACUGAUUGAUUUUUUCCAUUCUUGCAUUUAUAUUUGUUAAACAUUUAAUGAUUCACUAUGUUCUAUAUUUUUCUGGUUCUUGUUGCAAAUAAAUUUUAUUUUAAUAUG